GGUGCUAUAGUGUAGUGGUUAUCACUCGGGAUUUUGAUCAUUCAUCAGUAUUCCCGAAACCCAGGUUCGAACCCUGGUAGCACCU